rnacentral:rRNA from 1 species
AUUGAACGCUGGCGGCAUGCCUUACACAUGCAAGUCGAACGGCAGCACGGGUGCUUGCACCUGGUGGCGAGUGGCGAACGGGUGAGUAAUACAUCGGAACGUACCUUAUCGUGGGGGAUAACGCAGCGAAAGCUGUGCUAAUACCGCAUACGCCCUGAGGGGGAAAGCGGGGGAUCGCAAGACCUCGCGCGAUUAGAGCGGCCGAUGCCUGAUUAGCUAGUUGGUGGGGUAAAAGCCCACCAAGGCGACGAUCAGUAGCUGGUCUGAGAGGACGAACAGCCACCAUGGGACGAAGACACGGCCAAGACUCCUACGGGAGGCAGCAGUGGGGAAUUUUGGACAAUGGGGGCAACCCUGAUCCAGCAAUGCCGCGUGAGUGAAGAAGGCCUUCGGGUUGUAAAGCUCUUUUGUCAGGGAAGAAACACCGGCUCUAACACAGUCCGGGAAUGACGGUACCUGAAGAAUAAGCACCGGCUAACUACGUGCCAGCAGCCGCCGUAA